AGCGAACGUUAGCGGCGGGCCUAACACAUGCAAGUCGAACGAGAAUGAGGGGCGAACUCCUCUAGUAAAGUGGCGGACGGGUGCGUAACACGUGGGUAAUCUACCUUCCGGCGGGGGACAACAGUCCGAAAGGAUUGCUAAUACCGCGUACGUCAGCGAGGUCUACGGAUCUUGUUAGGAAAGAUGGCCUCUCCUUGGAAGCUGUCACCGGAAGAUGAGCCCGCGGCCCAUCAGCUAGUUGGGAGGUAAUGGCUCACCAAGGCUUAGACGGGUAGCUGGUCUGAGAGGAUGAUCAGCCACAC
rnacentral:rRNA from 1 species